GUAAGAUUACGCUCUGUCAUCAAAAGGGAAAUCUAAUUUUGGAUGAUUCAAGCAUGAGACGAGGUGCCACAAUUUUCUCAUAUGCGAAUCAAGGAAGGUAAGAAAGAAAAGAAAGCCUUAUUCAAUAAAAUUUUUAAUCCAUUCUCAUGAGACAAUUAUAGUACAUUUAAUUAUGCUAAUUAAAAUUAGCCACGACGAAGACAUAAUUUGGCCCUGUAGUCCAUUUAAGCAAACUUUAAAAUCAAAAUGAGAUUACUGUACAUCAAAAGUAGCAAACAGGAAGAAAAUAGCAUUCUAGUUUUUUUUAAACAAUCAACUAUCAUUAAGCGAGAGUGAUACAUGAACAAGCCGACAACAAGCAAAGAUUUAUUCAACUUUAGCGAAGGAAAUUCGAGUUUGGAAUGAGGAGAGCUUGGAAUAAGGAGAAACCUAGGGAAAUCGAGUUAGGAUAGUCAAGGUUUUCGCUAGAGCUCAACUAUUCCUACUCUCAUUCUUAUUAAAUCCACAGUCAAUCUAACAAGGGAGACAACUUGAUAUUUAAUCUAGAAUCGGCAGGAUUCUACGAGAAACUAUUAUAACCCAUCAAUCACACAGUUAAAUAGAUUGAGUGGACUAACGCCUCUCUCUGUGCAGCAAAAUAGGACUCGAGCUUCAUCCGGAAUCACAACCACCAAGAAAUGACGUCUUCGUCAACUCAGAAACCCUACCUGGUCGAUGAACUUGUCGAAAAAAAAGAUUUUUACUAUAAAACAAGACUGUUUGCUUCUUCCAAAGGGUAUUUUCCCCUCCUAGGCCUCCAAAGAAAAACCUUCUUCUUCAUUUUCUCAAGAAUGUUUAACCCACAGUUUUCUACACCCCCAAUUUCGAACCACCUUUAAGACCCACCAAGGAAAUCCCCAAAACAAUAGCUCCUAGAAGAAACUCUAAUUUCUCAACCCUAAUACCCCAACCUCUGAUUUUUGAACCCCAAGAGCCAAAAAAACUAAUUUUCUGAAGCUCAAAAAUCCAACCCUAGAAAGAACCCUUGAGCCGAUCAAGCCCCUAGAAGAGUGACCCAAUGGGUCCUUAUAUAAAAGACGAAUUAGGAGCUGUUUGGGAAUUUGAAAAAGAAAGGAAUUUGAAUUCCAAUGAUGGGAUAACGUUGAGCUGUAAUUUGUACUAAAAUCAUACCAAGUUGUUGAGAUAUUCGAAUUUUGAACAAUUAGUAAUUGAGGAGCGAAUUGAAAGCUAACACGUAACACCCUCUAGAACAUUUCAUGUUCUUAUCUCGUACUGGGCACGCACAGACGUUGAGAGAAAAACUCAUUAUUUUCGGGUUAGGUUGACUCAAACGGGGCCUAUUCGGGUUGGGAUCGAGUUGAAACCCAUGUCGCCGUUGAUGGCUUCUUAGUGUUGGAUUCAAUUUUGGUUGGAUUUUGGCUGGUGUCGGGUUAAAAGGUUAUAGGAGUUGUUGGGUUGAGAAUUGUCGAUAGUGAAGCUGUUGUUAAUUGAAUAAAGAAGAGGAGAAGGUUUAGGCCGGGUAUGUUUGUUGGUGUGGGCCUAGGGGUGUUGGGCUGCUAGAAAUUUGAGGCUAAUUUGGCAAAGUCAAAAGGAAAUUGGGCUUGGGAUGUUUAAUUUGAAGAGUGGGCUGGUAAUUUAAAAAUAAGAAUAAAAUGAAAUUGCGGUUAUUGAAUUGAUGAUCCCAAUCAAAUUAAGAAUUAGUCAAAUCCAUUUAAAUUUUAACCAAAUUGAAGUCAAUUGGCCAAUUUCAUUGCAACGGAAGUCAACUGGACAAUUGCAUUGUAAUUGAAGCCAAUUUUAUUCCAAUUAUAGUCAAUUUAAUAGAUUGACCAAAUUAAAUCGAAACUCAAUACAAGUUAAUACCUCACUUAAUCCCAAGCUUCUUGAUUUGAUAAAAUCAAACACAUAUUUUCUAAAUAAAUUAAUUUUAAGAUAAAAUAUAUGUUGUGAUUUAAUUCAAAACUCAAGAAGCUCGGAAUUAAACUUAGUCGUGGAAGUCAAGAUUAGGUGUCAACAACUGUGCCCUCCCUUUGGGUAGGGUGGAUGCAAGUAACCCUGGGCAAAGGGAGGUUGACGUUCCUAAUUUUUGUCCGACAAUAAAUUCGAAUCUGAAAGACGUUGGUUUUUCACAUGAGUUUCAUGCAGUUAUGGCCGAACCUCGGUAUCAGGUUUCCUAUAUAUCUUAGGUUACAUGAGAAUUCAGGCCACUUGUAGUUCAUAAAGCUUGAUUUUAAGCAUGAUUUUUAGAGAAAAUUUCACUGGCCAUCUCAGUUUUGGAGUUUUUUUAUAAAAUCGAGAAGAUGGGGAAUGAAGGGAUUUGGGGGGAGGUUGGAAUGCAAUUGAUUUUAUACAAAGAUCCCAACCUACAUAUCCCCAAGAUUUCAGGGAAUCAGACUACUUGUAGUUCGACUCGAUUGGUAAAAAAGAUAGUCUUCUAUUUCAGAGGAUCUUUGGCUCGGGAUAAGUGAAAAGUUAAUGAGUUGUGGAAAAGAGGCUUGUAACCUCUUAACCAUGAAUGUGAAUCUCUUCACAUCCAUAGGUAAGAAUUUACGUGGGCAUAAUCUCCAAAACUCUAGGAGUCCUAUCACUCAAAUUUGGAAGAAAGAGAAGGUUACCCUCGAUUUGAGUUAAGAAAUAUCUAGGAGUUGAAGCUAAAAUUUAGAACAUCCCAAAAUACCCACAAGCCUUCUAACAGGGGUGUGGUUGGAUAGUAGUGGCGAUCAUCCUUUAGCUCGCGUCCAAAGAGUUUGACGUCCCUCUCUAGACUACGUCCCAUUUUGCUGCUAAGAAAGAGUUCCACGUUGUGUUGUACCUUUUUUGGAGUCGUCCACACCUGUGGGUUUGAUUUAAGAAUUUUAUCCUCUUGGAUGCUCUCGACAAUAUCUCAAACAAUAUUGUUAGUGCUAAACAUAAUUCACGAAAUAAGUAGGUAGCCUUUUACCAUAUCUCCACGUGAGUUGUGGCCUGAAAAGCAGAAUCAUCUCUUUAUGUACCUAUUUGGAAUGAAAUAACUGACAACAACAAACACAACAACCCUCUUGGUUGUUGUGUAAUUAUGACAUUUAUUGGUUGAAUAUGCCUUCAAAGUGGGGUGGCCCUUUUGGACACCAGUGAUAAUUUAUGCCGAAUGGUCCCUGCAACCGUGUAAUCUUGUGCUGGUGUGGCAACCCUUUUGGUUACCUAUAUCACUUGCUGUAUGUGGAAUGAUAACCUCUCCGGUUAUAGCCGAUGAUCGACUUAUGAAUUUUCUUUAAAUUAUCAAUCUUUGGAUAAUCUUGCGCAUUAUUUGAUAUUGGAUACGAGGCAACUUAUAGAUAUCCUUUGAAUUUCUAGCUUUUAGGUAAUCCUGCACAUUAUCCAACUUUGGAUAAGAGAUGGCUUACAGAUAUCCCUCCAAUCGCUAGCUUUCAAGGGUUCCUGCACAUCAUCCGACCUUGGAUACAAUAUGACUUAUAGAUAAUCUCUCAAAUUGUUAGUCUUUGGGUAAUCCUGCACAUACUCGAUCUUGGAUAUGACGUGGCUUAUAUAGAACCCUUGGACGUAUCAAUUUGAUAAUCUUGCAUAUUCUUCAAUAAGGAUUUAGUUGUGACUUACAGAUAACCUUUGAACUAUUGAUUUUAGGGCGAUCUUGCACACUAUCCAGUUAGGAUGUUGUUGUGGCUUACGGAUAGCCUACAGGCUAUCAACUCAUAGGUGAUCUUCCACGCUAUCUUAUUUCAAAUAGUAUGACUUAUAGAUGACCCUUAAAUUGUCAAUUUCUAGGAAAUCUUAUAUAUCAUUCAUCCUUAGAUAGCGACUUAAAGGUGUCCCUUCAAAUCAUGUGCUCUCGAUGUAUUCAAAUGCUGAUUCAUAAAAUGAUGAGAUAUCCUCACUGCUAGUAUUUAUGUCUUGGGUGUCACCAGAUAUAAAAUGAUGAUGAUAUCCUCAGCGCCAGCAUUGUCUCUUGUAUGUCAACAGAUAUAUUGAAUGUUGAUGAUAUCCUCAAUGCCAGUGUUGUGUCUAGCGCAUCAACAGAUAUUGAAUGAUGAUGAUAUCCUCGAUAUCAGCAUUGUGUAUUGCAUGUCAACAGAUAUAUUGAAUGCUGAUGAUAUCCUCGACGCCAGCAUUGUGUCUAGCGCGUCAACAGAUAUUGAAUGAUGAUGAUAUCCUUGAUGCCAGCGUUGUGUGUUGCGUGUCAACAAAUAUAUUAAAUACUGAUGGUAUACUCGAUACCAACGUUGUGUCUAGCAAGUCAACAGAUAUUAAAUAUUGAUGAUAUCCUCGACGCCAGCGUUGUGUCUAGCGCGUCAAUUGAUAUUGAAUAGCCUUCUUGAGCAAUGGUAUGAAAUGGCCCUCUCGGCAAUGAUAUGCAAUGUCUCUCUUGGCAAUGAUAUGCAAUGGCCUUUUUCGCAAUGAUAUGCAAUAGCCCUCUUGGUGAUGAUAUGCAAUAGCCCUCUUGGUAAUGAUAUGCAAUGGCCCUCUUGUCAAUGAUAUGCAAUGGCCCUCUUGGCACUUUAAAACAAUUUCACCUGAGUUUGUUUGUCUGCGUCUUGCUUUCUACAUAUACCUGUACUCAAAGGUAGACGAUUAGUAGACACAAAUUCGCUUUUGCUAGCAACCAUUUUUUUAGAAAAAUUCUAAAUACAAUAUUUAUAAAGUAGACAAGACACUUUUGUUUAUCCUCCAUGAUCUCAAGAAAUGAGAUGGACAAUUCGAAAGGUCGUUAAUAAAUGGGUGUUGAGCCAUUUUUUGGGCUACCAAAAGUACCGUUAUUAAGCCUUAUAUGCUCUGUCAUGGAUCCCGACUUGCUUGGGGAUUUUUUGAAAGAAACACUCAUUUUGUGUAUCGAUCCCUGCAUCCAUAAAAAAUGAUUAGUUUGAAAGAAACUACUCCGUGUUGACCUCCUACGAUCCUUGAUUUUCCCUCGCCAUCUUUCAGGUAUUUCAUCAUGUUGGGACUUCCACCCCUGACUCCCUGUCCUAAUUGAUGUCUAGGCAAUCGCUAAGUAAAAGAUUUAUAUAGUUUUUUUGAAAGUACUCUUAAUAUUUUAGAAAAUAGUUUCGAGAACUCCUGCAAAACUUUGAAAAAUCUCUGCUAGUCAUGUCAUGUGCUAGAUCAACGACAGUCUUUCUCUUGAUUCUGACAAUGUCCGAUAUUUGACGGAGGAUUGAUAGGGAUUCAGCAUUGUCGAGGCUCUCUACCAGAAGUUUUAUCAAAGACGGAGAUUUAUUCUUCCUAGAUUUAUCACAGGUGAUGAUCCUCAAAUCUCAACUUCGACCUCUAGUGCUGGGGAAUUUCAAAUAUAUUUUAAUAUUUGGUGGAGAUUUUGAGGCCUUCCUCAAAAUUUCUGCCCCAGUUUGACUUAGCGUGAGAUGAUAUCAUUUCGAGUGGAUCUGAAGUCUUUGCUGAUCUUCAUCCUCUUUGUUGGAUGUUGAUCUUUUCUUGUGAAUUUUUGAGAUUUCUUCUCGAAAAUUCUACCCCAGUUUCCAUUUCCUAGGGUUAUAUGACCAAGCCGUUGGGGUGCCUACAUAUCCCACUGGAGCAGGAAUCAGAUCAAACUUAGUUCAAGACUACGCUAAGGAUAUAUAUAGAAAAAAAAAUCUAACGGAAAGACCAAAACCGACAUAGGCCGCCUACAUAUCCCUUUCUUGGGAAUUCAGGUCAAACGUAGUUCGUACAUAAACUCAUAAUGGCCCUAAAAAUACUCUUACCCAUCUUACUAGGAUAUAAAUAAGUACUUAUAUGGAUGAUAUGACCUUUGCAUUGCGUUUGUCUUGAUAGAGCAAAGGACCAAAUGUCCAAUGGAGUCAUCGCCUUCCUAGUUAACCACCUCGGUUUUCUCUAGAUUAGGCUUCUUUGAUUCUUAGACUCUUUGACUCUUCAUUUUACUGUUCUAGGGCUACCAUUAUAUUCUUGACAUGACAUGACAAUGGCUGGUUUUAAGUUACUGUUAUACGACGGGCGAUGAGUCAUGAGUGGAGUCGAGGUCUAAUUUAAUAAUGUUUCCUCCAAUUAAUCUUCCAUGAUUUCGAUUGUUUUGGAAAAUUAUUCCCUCAUAUUUUCCCUUAUUCCAUCCUCGAGACUAUCUCUUACAGGGUUGAAAAAUGAUUGGUAGAGUCUAGUUUUACUGCUAGUCAUUUUUCUUUUCCUGUAACAAAGCUAUAGUCAAGAAGCGGAUCUCUUAUUCAUUUCGAUCUGGUGAAGUAGGGUCAUUUUGUGCCAACACAGAGUAGUUUCUAUUACCUGCAAAGUAAAAACCACUCAAACACUGACGUGUUAAUUUCCGUUAGUAAUAAGUAAAGAAAGAUGAUAAGGUAGGAAGUAAACACAUAGAGUUGUUUCUCAUCUCAUGCGAAUAGAUCCAUGAAGUAAUGAUGACUCGAGGAUUUUAAUGAAAAGGAUUUUGCUCAAUGAUAUAGAUAGGUGGAAUUUUUCGGGAAGGUUUAACUAUUCUUCAUCCUUCAAGAAAGUGGAGGACAACAGAGCUUUUGAAGAUAUGGGCCGGGCUAAAAGGCUGCCUACGUAUCUCACGAAGGAGAAAUCAGGCCCUACAUAGUUCAAAACUAUAACAGCUUUUUCUGAUUCUAAAGUCCACUUUCCUAAAAUGGUAGCUAUCAUUUUGGAAGUUUUAAGAAUGACUAUGGACUUUUCUGAGAAACUUGGGAGACUUGGAGUACUUUUAGUCAGACUUUUGUAUAGUGGGGUAUAUUUCUGCCCAGAGAUGUUCUAUGGAAAAUGGAAUUGGAUUAGUUCGCCUUUGAUUCGAAUCAACAUAACACGUAUAAGCACAUAAAUAGUUAUAUUACACAAACAUAUUGUAAUAAACGUACAUCCUAAUUAGGUGACCCUUUUGAGCCAAGGGUUUGGGCCUAACGAUUUUUGAAGAAAAAAUAUAUGCUUGCUUAAGGUCAAUCCAUUAUCCCCCAACUUUUAUAGACUCUAAAAGGGCAUAAAUUCCUACAAAAGAUAACGAAAGAGGGAUACAAUCUUUAGGGAAAGGGAAAUAACAUGAAAGAAGAUACGUUCCCACACAGAGGAUAAAAAAUACUAAUUCCUAAGUGCUUCUUCUAUCAGCCUUCCCUUUCUUAGCUUCAUCCAUUUCUUAUAUUGGUGACAUCCGUUGACGUUCAAACUGUGCCUUAAAUGCAACCUCCCUAAUCGAUCAAUUUCUUGCUUAACUUGCUUCAAUUCUUCUUACGAAAGUAAGCAAAUCAAGUUUUUUCCCGACCCCCAAAGGAUAAUGGAUUGAAUUAGACAGGCAUACAUUUUCUUCAACACAUAAAUAUGGUUCGUCUAUAAUUGACUUGGGCUUAAUAGACGUAAGGCAGGUUUUCUAAUAGUCUCAAUACCCCGCUCGGGUAUUGGGUCAUCCUAGGCUCAUGCCUAAAACAGGGUUUUGGUUUCGUUUUAUCUUCGAUGUCUAAAGUGGGUUUGAACACUGGUUCUCAAGAGGACAACUUGAGUUUGAAGAUACAUACAGCCAUCAGACGACUAACAUGCUAAUAAGUCAUUCAUAUUUUCAACAUAUUUUUGAAAGUGAACAACAGGGGCCGGGACAUCCACGAAACCCCAAAACAGUUAAAUAAUGUAGGAAUAUGCCAUGAGAUGCGAUAAUUGAACUUUACAAAAUCAAAACACAUAAACGCAUAAACAAUUAAUCAAAAUAAAAAAAUCAAACAUGUGGUUAGAAACUAGUUAAAGAUCCCCAGCAGAGUUGUCAUUUCUAUUUUGACGAAAAUUUUGGACUUUUGAGAGAAGAGUCGCCACUUAAUUUUGAAAAGAAAUUAAGAAACCUUUGUAAUGUACUUAGACGAUUCAAAACAGAAAAUUGUUUUAAGGUAGAGAUUCUAGAUAAGCGGUUCCAAUUAACGUUUUAGGAAGGUGUUAGGCACCUAAAACGUCUGCUAACUUGCGGUUAUCUGAACUGUUUGAAAAUCAUCUUUUGAUUAACUUCGAAAAAUCAAUUUGUUGGAAAAUAGUUGAUUAAGGAAAAGUUUUUGCAAAAUCAGUUUUUAGCGACUUAGUUAGGGAUUUAAUUAGGUUCGCAAAGAAGCACGUAAAUAAGUAAGCAAAAAGGAAAAGGGAAAAGGGGAGGAGAAGUGAUUCAGGCUUCCAAGCCCAAACCGUCGAUCUUGUCCUAAGCUAUUUGGGUUUUUCAACCCAUUUCACCUGUCCUAGUCUAAUUCUCGAGCCUUUGACUCGAAUCUUGCUCUACCUGUAUUAAAUACAACUUUGGCUUCGUGACCCAAAUGAACGAAUAAAACAUAAAUAACUAAAUAAAUAAAGACAACAAUGAAGAGUGAUAAAAUGAACAAAUAAAAUGGAAAAACCGAGACUUUCAAGUCUCUUGGCUGCUUCGAAUAUGGAACUUUAACCCAUUUUCUCUUUUGACUCCUCAUAUUCAUGCGCUAUUUUAACCAACUUUGGGCUCUCUUUUGGGACUGACUUGGUGAGAUGGGCCUCGUUGGCCCAUGAUGAACAUGCAAGAGGGAAGGAAUCCAUAGGACUCAAUCGAUGGGUUCAUGCAAAGAAAAGGAUAAAAGAAUUAACAUAUGUGCUCAAGAUUUUAACAAGUACUGAAAUAUCAGAUUCAUGCUUCAUUCAAAUACAUUCAUACACAAGUAAGAGUGCCACGGGGGAUAAGUUCUAUAAAGUUUGAAGAAUACGUUCAUAAGAGAUUAAGGAAGUUCCCACUACAGGAGGGAAUAAAGCUCAAAAAAGGGUUCUUAUAAUCCUUAGCGAAUAAGACAAACAAUUUAUCACUUUAAUACCAUGAGAUUUAUCAACCAAGCAUGUCACAAAGAAAAGAUUUCAUAAGACAGUCAUAAGGAUGUAAACCAGUCAAGAGAAAUACGAUAAAACACGCUAGGAAAGAAAUAACAAUGACUGUUUUCUCAAACGAAGUUCGAAUCCUGGUUCCUUACAAGACUAAAAGGAUAUCAAAAUAUUAAUUUAAUUAAUUCAUUAGUGAUUAAUACUCAAGGGGAGAAAGAAUUAUAAAGCCAACAAGUUGAUUUCAUACUACAUAAACCAUGGAUCGCACAAGCAACGUUCAGGUUUCAGAAUUCCAAACAUACAAGAGUUACAUACUUAAUCACUCCAGGAGAGGAAAACAAAAACCGAAACUUCAAAUAAUUAAAGCCUAAAUCGUAAUUUUUUUUCAACUGUGUUAUCAAACCCAUGAGCUUUAAACAGCAUACAAACCUUUUAAAAUAUAUAUGACAUAUGUAAGAUUAUGCUCUGUCAUCAAAAAGGAAAUCGAAUUUCGGAUGAUUCAAGCGUGAGAUGAGGUGCCACAAUUUUCUCAUAUGCGAAUCAAGGAAGGCAAGAAAGGAAAGAAAGCCUUAUCCAAUAAAAUUUUUAAUCCGUUCUCAUGAGACAAUUACAGUACAUUUAAUUAUGGUAAUCAAAAUUAGCCAUGACGAAGACAUAAUUUGGCCCUGUAGUCCAUU
rnacentral:lncRNA from 1 species